GCCAAGAAUGGGUUGUAAAAUUAGAGAUGUAUUUGUUGCCCCUGAAAUACAUUUUAAAAAUAUAUUUUAAUAUAUGAAGGUUAAAACUAAAUAUAUUUUCAAAUUAAAAAUAUAUUUAAUUAAGCUUUACUUCCUAAAAAAUUUAUUUAGCAUGUAUUCAAAACAAAUUUUUGGCCAAAAAAUGCCCUAUGGGCAACUACUCGUAUGACGCAUAUGACGUAAUUAAAUCAGAAACAAUGAGAUUAAUGUAAAACAUUUUAUAUUUAAACACGGGUAAAUACUAUUGACUUAAAAGUCUUUUAGCUACGCAUUUAUAUUAAAUUGCGUGCUGUGCGCAUGCGCAAAAGAAAUGUUGACCACAAGCAGGAGAAGUCAGCGGCAUUAUUACUGCAAUCAGUUUAAUUUAAACAGGGACAAACUACACAACAUUACCGUUGUGUGUGAUCAUGGGCGCUCUCUUCAGCGCUCCUGGCGGUUAUAUGCUGGUACUGCAGACAGACUGAGACUGAAUGUCAAAGUUGAAGGUCAUAUGGUCUGGCAGGUGGGCGGGGUCUGGGAGAAGAUCGCUGCAGUUAGCAACAUGACCCAACUUCAAAUGAUCCAAUCAGAUCUCAUUGGACAAAUACAAAUCCAGCCCUGCCUUAUUUUAUUUCAAAAGCCGGUUUCACUCGGAUAUACGUCACCACGGAGAAAAUGAGAGUUCAAGGACUCAUCGCAAUGUGAUGACCGCAAGAAGAAAACAGAAACUACACAUCAAUCAUGAUGACCCGUGGGGCUAAGCAUCCAGAAAUCACAUCCAAUCCUACAGUGACCCACAUAUUCAGCACAGAGAUAGGUCGAAGGUCAGACCACACAUACCCUUCUAGAUUCUAUUGGCCUAAAUACAGCUGAAAUAUAUAAAAUAUAUUAAAUGAGUAUCGAUAGCAGACAAACAGAUGAAACGAGCCAGACAGACAUCAUCCCACCAUCAUUCGCACCCCUUAGCCGCCCAUCAGACAGAUGGAAGAAGGUCAAGUGUCUGCGUGUGGUAAGAAUGAAGCGCAUACACACACUCCAGAUGUUAACAAAACUUUGAGAUUUGUCAAACUAAUGAUUCAAUGACAUUAUUACUUUUGGAAAGAACAAACUUGUUUAAAGCCACAAACAUUAUCAUUUUUUAAAAGUUGAUCACAUGCAAAAUUCUGGGAAUUUUCAAUGCUGGAAACUUUCCAUGGGAAUUAACAUUCAUAUUAGAAUGAUUUCUGAAGUGUUUUUGAUCAAAUAAAUCCAGGUUUGAUGAGCAUAAGUAUCAGGAUUCUUCAAAAUUUGUUUUACCUUGCAUACAUGUCUGCUUAUGACCGAACAAAAUGUUAAUAUAUGAGUUUGGUUCCAAAACUGGAUUUAAAGGCUUAAAUCAAAACAAACUAACUGCAGUCGAGUUAUAUGGUUUUUGAACCAAACUCUUCAUAUGUUUGUUUAUGAUGAAGUUUUUAUAAAUUUCCCUAAAUUUCCAAAUAAUUCCCAUGAAGUUUUAAAUUUGGAAUCAUUCUGGAAACUUUCCACCCUUUUGCAACCCUAAUUCCAUGUGAUUUAUCUGAUGAAGUGAUGCAGGUUACAAACAAACUCUUAUCUACUGAUGUCAACAGAGUAUGAGACUAAUGCCUAAUCUCUUUGUGUCUGUCACAGAUGAAUGAAGUGAUGAUAAAUGCCAACACCUGUCCAAUACGCAUGAUGUGAGAAAGAGGAAGACAGAUACAUCAACAGUUGAAGAGUGCAAAACCCUUUAAGUGCAUCUGACAUGUUUUCUUGUAAAUUAGCUUUUUUUAGACUCUUAAUGAAUUCUGUCAACAAACCAGCAUUUCUGAAAUGCCUGAGGCCAGGAUUAAGCGGAUUUGACGCGAAAGUAUUUGAUAAACGAAUAAUAUGUGCUAAGCAGCAUAUUGGGUUAAUAUCAUUAUGUCAUUUUUGACAGAGAUGCCAUUUGGCAGCUUUUGCAUUAGAGCUCCUCAUAUGAUACAUGAAACAAUGAUGAUGCAUGACAACAGCUGCUGGAUCUAAUGAUUAUGACUUUAUACAAAACACUGACAUCAUCAAAUACAGCACAAAAAAAGUGGUCUCAAAUGAUGCCAAACUCCCAGAAUUCACAUUGGUUUGCAGCACCCAGAAUUACAUGGUGUGGAUGAGAGGAGCAUGUAAUAAAUCUG